rnacentral:rRNA from 1 species
UACGGGGGGAGCAAGCGUUGUUCGGAUUUACUGGGCGUAAAGGGCGCGUAGGCGGCCUGUUAAGUCGAACGUGAAAUCCCCAGGCUCAACCUGGGAACUGCGUCCGAUACUGGCAGGCUUGAAUCCGGGAGAGGGAUGUGGAAUUCCAGGUGUAGCGGUGAAAUGCGUAGAUAUCUGGAGGAACACCGGUGGCGAAGGCGGCAUCCUGGACCGGUAUUGACGCUGAGGCGCGAAAGCCAGGGGAGCAAACGGG